ACCCUAAACUUCUCUCUCUUUCUCUUUCUCUCCUCAUCAGCUCAUCCACUUCUAUUUCUCUCUCCUUUAUCAUAUUUCUCACUCUCUCUCUCUAUUUCUCGUCUGAAAAACAACUCUCACCUUCAACCAUCUCUACUCAGUGGUGUUGUUUGAUGCAUGCUGGCCGGUGACUGGAGGUGGUGUUCCGACGAGAUGAUGUGAGACACAAACGAUGGCUGCAGAUGAGUCUGUUUCCUCUUUUUCCGAUUAGUUUCGUUUUCUUUCUUUCCAUUGUGUCACAUGUUGGGCUUUUGUUGCUUUGUUUUGUUACAGGUUAAGCUAGAAGUUCGUCCUACAAGAAAGAUAAAGUCUGUAAGUGAUGACUUCAAAAUGUAAGAAUGAAUUUUUGACAAAAUGUAAGAAUGACUUUUUGACAAAACGAAUUCUGAUAUGUUUUGAGUACCAAAAUAGUUUCACAAUCUUUCUGCUAUGAUUUCCUUUUCCAUUUCUUGUAAGAACCAUUAUUGUUGAUAUUUUUAGAAGUUUUUUGACAUUGGUUUCUUGUGGUUCUGUUUCCACCUUAUUUUGUAUGUAGGUGGGCACCUAAGGUAAAUUCAUUAUAUAUGAGGUUGUUGAUAUUUAUACAGUAUCUCAUGGUUAUUGUCAAUAUUCUACAAAUUGUAUGCUAAACUUAUGUUUGUUUCCCUGCAUGUGUCCUUCAUAUACAUUUGAUACUAUGAUUCUAAAGGAUGUGUUUUGUGUUGAAGGGGACUUCUUGGUGGUUAUAAAUUAUUUGAACUUAUUCCAACUUUAGUCUUUUAUGCAUUGAUGGAAAUGGAAGCUGCCAUUGUGAGUGUGGAUGAAAAUGAGAUCGAAACUGGACAUAUAAUUGUCUCCACCAUUAGUGGUAAAAAUGGCCAGCUAAAGCAGGUGUAUGUGUUUUUUUGAUUUAUCAUUUCUGAUUAUUAUUGAACUUCUACAAAAUUGUUGAACUUAAUGGUUUGUUUUUGGUUUUAUGGAAGAAAAGGCAGUUAGCCUUCUUGUAAGAGUUCAUUAACAUUCACUUUUCUUUUUAUAAGAAAGCAAUAUUUGGAGGCUCCAUCGUUUAAGAUUAACAUUUGCUUAACAGUUCCAAACUCUUUAAAAGUUUUCAAUUCUUAGGUUUUGUCUAAGUUGCUUAAAUACAAACAUAUUGAUUGCUAAUUUUACAUAAAUGAGGGAUGUUUUAACAUGUGAAUCUUUGAGUAAGGUGAUGAAAUAUUGCUGGCAGUGUGUCGAUUCGGAGUUUUAGAGCAGCAGCCAGCCUCAAGACCUAUUGUCAUGGAAAUGGCUUAAUUUCAAAACAAGUAGGAUCAAAGAUGGUACUCAAUUCGGGUUCCCGCACCCUGGAAUAUUUUUAGUAUAUUGGGGGAUAACUAACAGUGUGUCCAAUUACCCGUAAUGGGCGUUAUGUUAAUUAGUCGUUUCUGAAUUUCUGAUUGAUAAUGUUGUUGGUGCCAUAUCAAAGUGGUUCCGCUCCCUAGAAUGUGUUUAUUAUAUUGAUUUUUCUUUUUUUCUGCAUAUGUUUGUUUCAAACUUGCUCCAAGUUUGUGUUUUUGAGACAUUUUGAUGUUUUGCUACAGAUUGUGAAGAAAAAGAACUAACUCCAUCUGCAAAAGUAUUGAGUUUUUUACUCAGCUACUACAUACUUUUGUUUACUUCUGUUAUCUUUACUGCUAAGUUACUCAUUACCUUAAGUGAGAUUUAUUGAAAACAAAAUCAAAUCUGCUAUAUCAGUAAAGUGACUUUAUUCAUCACAAUAAUGUAACUAUUACUUCUUCAUUUCGAAUCAAAUCUUAAUGAGUAGCACAUACACAUGUCAUUGGCCUACUAACUGAUAACUUAUCUAUAUCAUUGCUUUCAUGCUACCCUAUUGACCUACUAACUCUAAAUUUAUGCACAAGCCAAUUUUAAUCCAUGUUUCAUCUAUUAUUAUUCUGAUCGCCUCUAUCUUAUGUCAUGCUAAUAUGUUGAUCAAAUUGCAUUGGUUGCAAAGAGUAUCAAUAAGCCAGUUUAUGUGGUUGCUUCCCUACAAUCAGUUGAUUUCGGUGUACCUAUUCCAUCCAAGGUUGACGAGCAAAACCGAAAAAUCACAAAAAUGCGAAAAACAAUUUUUGCAUACUAAAUAUGCAUUCAUUUCUGUGUAGAAUUCCUUUGGAUUCAGUGCUUGAAGAGGAUAGUCUUCCAUAGAGUGUUUACUAACUUGUGAAGGAAGAUGAAUAUUGUGGUGAUAUUAAGGUGGCUCUUACUUUUACACACGAGAGAAAUUAUGAACAAGGCUACAAUGAAGAGGAGGAGAGCUCAGAGCUGUGGUGGAUGGAAAGAAUCAACAAGAGAUUUUUGAAGUGAAUGAAGGAUUUAAAUAUUUCCAAGAUUCAGAAUUACUUCUAUAAAAAAAUAGUAUCUAUUGCCUAGAAUUUUAAUCAUUAUGUUUUCUGUGUGAUGAUCUCAUAGUGUUCUGCUUUGAUUUUCACUCUUUUUGGUGUAAACUAUAUUAUGUUGAAUAAGUGAUAUUUUAUGCAUAUGUAUGAAUGACGGCAUCGCAUGUAAGCCAUGGAUGAUGAAAAUCAUAUUUAAUUAUGACAUAA